GCUGGGUGCGGUGGCACGUGCCUGUAGUCACAGCUACUCGGGAGGCUGAGGCAGGAGGAUUGUUUGCGCCCAGGAGUUCCGGGCUGUAGCGCUCUAUGCCUAUCCGAUGUCCACGCUAAGUUCGCACUAAGUUCAGCAUCAGUAUGGUGACCCCCGCAGGAGCUGGAGACCACCAUGUUGCCUACGAAGGGGUGAACUGACACAGGUCUGAAACAGAGCAGGUCAAAACUCCCAUGUUGAUCAGUAGUGGGAUUGUACCUAUAAAUAGUGACUGCACUCAAGCCUGGGCUCCAGCCUGGGCAACACAGCAAGACCCAGUCUCUU
rnacentral:SRP_RNA from 1 species